rnacentral:rRNA from 1 species
GACGAACGCUGGCGGCGUGCCUAAUACAUGCAAGUCGAACGCAGUGGGGACGGGUGAGUAACACGUGGGUAACCUCCCAUCAGAGGGGAUAACAUUUGGAAACAGGUGCUAAAACGAAAUUGAUGGAUGGACCCGGGGUGCAUUAGCGAGGUGGUGAGGUAACGGCUCACCAAGGCCACGAUGCAUAGCCGACCUGAGAGGGUGAUCGGCCACACUGGGACUGAGACACGGCCCAGACUCCUACGGGAGGCAGCAGUGGGGAAUCUUCCGCAAUGGACGAAAGUCUGACCGAGCAACGCCGCGUGAGUGAAGAAGGUUUUCGGAUCGUAAAACUCUGUUGUUAGAGAAGCGGUAUCUAACCAGAAAGCCACGGCUAACUACGUGCCAGCAGCCGCGGUAAUUC